UGGCAAGUGAGGGUGUUAUAAUCACAUGUGAGGAUAAAACCAAAAGAAUGGUUUUGAUGAAAGAGGACGAUUGUAGAGCCUAUUUGCAGAAAUAUAUUCAGGAUUCUCAUCCCAUCUGUUUAAGAAAAGACCCGACCCCGAAGCUGCAAGCUGAAAUGGUUAAAUUAUAUAAGACAAAAAACUUCCCUGCUCCAUGGAAACAUUACCAUGUGAAAGCCCUCACUUGUCCACGACUGUUUGCUUAUGUAAAAAUACAUAAGGACCCACUAGCAAUUUGACCAAUCGUGGAGAAAGUGAAUGUUCUCACUUACCACUUGGAAAAGAAGCUAGCGGCUUGGACAAUGAGCCUACUA
rnacentral:lncRNA from 1 species